AUGACAUCGUUGGCACUGACUACCCCGAAGGUUCCGGAGACAGCAGACCAGAACCGGACCUACCGGAACCGGAUGUGGGCAACCGACAACCCGACAUAGUACCGAGCAUAGUCGACGUCCCCGGCACGAAAAACGUUCAAUUACCGGCUCAGAAGGAAGAAGUACCCGCCACU